UACGGAGGGUGCAAGCAUUAAUCGGAUUUAUUGGGCGUAAAGGGCGCGUAGGCGGAAGAGAAAGUCAGAUGUGAAAUCCCGGGGCUCAACCUCGGAACAGCAUUUGAAACUUCACUUCUAGAGGGUAGGCGGAGAAAACGGAAUUCCACAAGUAGCGGUGAAAUGCGUAGAUAUGUGGAAGAACACCGGUGGCGAAAGCGGUUUUCUAGCUUAUACCUGACGCUGAGGCGCGAAAGCUAGGGGAGCAAAC
rnacentral:rRNA from 1 species